rnacentral:rRNA from 1 species
AUGAACGUGUUUUGGGUCGCCGGUGUGACUCCCACAGGAAUGAUCGCUCCUGAACAGGAGAAGGCGUUUAAGGAGGCCACUGUCGUGUUCCUCGGGGCAGUUCUGAGCGUGAUUGGAGAUAAGCUGGUUGACGCAUAUUUGCAUAUGCGGUCUGCCAAAGACUUGUGGGAGGCGCUCGAAUCUAAGUUCGGGGCGGCCGAUGCAGGGAGCGAGAUGUAUAUUAUAGAGCAGUUCCACGAUUACAAGAUGGUUGAAAACCGUCCUAUGUUGGAGCAGGCUCAUGAGAUAAUAUGCAUUAUUAAGGAGCUUGAGCUUCUUAAGUGCGAGUUACGGGGCAAGUUUGUCGCGGGCUGCAUAAUCGCUAAGCUCCCCAAUUCCUGGAGGAACUUUGCCACCACCCUGAAACAUCAGAGGUGUGAAUUCUCUGUGGAGGAUGCCAUUGGCCAUCUGAGUGUUGAGAAGAAUUCAAGGGCAAAGGACUCGCACGGAAAAGGUGUCGAAGGAACUUCUGUGGCCAAUAUGGUGCAUCAGAAGAACUCUAAUUCCCACAAGCCCAAGGGAAAGAACGGUGUCCAACAGAGUGCCGACUUUAAGAAGAAGGGUAAGAAGACCUUCAAGAAGAACAAAAAGGAUGAGGGCUGCUUUACUUGUGGUUCGGUUGAACAUUGGGCCAACAAGUGCCCAAACAAGUACAAGAAGCCAGGGCAGGACUCCAAGUCUGUCAAUAUGAUUGUGAGCAACAAUGAGAGUGGUGCAUCUGGGCCACAUGUCAGGGGUCCAUACUGA